rnacentral:rRNA from 1 species
AGUCAUAUGCUUGUCUCAAAGAUUAAGCCAUGCAUGUCUAAGUAUAAGCAAUUUAUACAGUGAAACUGCGAAUGGCUCAUUAAAUCAGUUAUCGUUUAUUUGAUAGUACCUUUACUACUUGGAUAACCGUGGUAAUUCUAGAGCUAAUACAUGCUAAAAAUCCCGACUGUUUGGAAGGGAUGUAUUUAUUAGAUAAAAAAUCAAUGCUCUUUGAGCUCUUUGAUGAUUCAUAAUAACUUUUCGAAUCGCAUGGCCUUGUGCUGGCGAUGGUUCAUUCAAAUUUCUGCCCUAUCAACUUUCGAUGGUAGGAUAGUGGCCUACCAUGGUUUCAACGGGUAACGGGGAAUAAGGGUUCGAUUCCGGAGAGGGAGCCUGAGAAACGGCUACCACAUCCAAGGAAGGCAGCAGGCGCGCAAAUUACCCAAUCCCGACACGGGGAGGUAGUGACAAUACAUAACGAUACAGGGCCCUUUCGGGUCUUGUAAUUGGAAUGAGUACAAUGUAAAUACCUUAACGAGGAACAAUU